GUUAUUUAUUUUAUCAAAAGGUCAAAACAAGGGGGACCGAGAUUUGCAUUUCGUGGGAAAUUUGGUUGGAAGGGAUUUCUCUGACAUCCCCUAUACAGACUGAUCAACUCCAUAUAUUCCUGUCGGAAAGCAACGAUUAAACUUAAUAAAAUUACUACAAAAUACUACAUACUGAAUUUACUACAUACCAAUGUAAGAAGAUCAAAAGAAACAGAUUGCUAACAUUGUUAAAUUGAAAAGCUCUUAGAAUAAACCCAAUAUUUACAAAUAUGGCGGCUAAGUAAUGUUUUGAAUAAAUAGAGCUGGAGUCUAUCUAUACAAACUAGUUUAAAAGCUAUCGCGAUGCAUCCCAAAAGGACUUUUUUUUGCACGUAUAUUACAAAAACCAUUCCCUUAAAAUAUUUGUGUAUAAAUAAAUUAAUUGAUUCUUUGACAGCUUCAGAAUAUGACUGACUUGAUUCGAAAGCAAAUCAAAAGUUCAUCCAUAGGCAUUGUUUAUCGCAUUGUAAACUUUGAGGACAUACUACGAUAUGAUAAGCUCACAGUUUAGACCUUAGAGAAGAAUAAAAGAAUUGUCAAAACCAACGUUCUCUAAAUUAUAAAUAUUUUUCAUCAGCUUCAAUAGAAAAGUAGGUCUAUCUGCUUCAGUUCGGUCUAAGGGUAAAACUUACGCAAAAGUUUUCAUAUUAAGGCAUAUAUCUAACAAUUAUGUCGACGGCCUCGAUUUAUAAAUAACCGUCUAUAUUUAAUUAAAAGAGCUGUUCUAUGGAGAUAAGUUUGUGAUCGAUGGCAUUAGGGUGUAUGGGUGUGCUAAAGUGUUUUAUUUGAAAUUAAAUUAAGAUUAUGAAAACAUUUAAAAAUAUUUUUAAUUAUUAUGUGAUAAAAGCGGGAGCGUUGGACAGAGAUUCCGAGGACCCGAACCGAAAAGCGAAGUUAAAAAUUAAAAACCUAUUAUCCAAAAAAUAAAUGGACUUCGUAAUAAUAAUUGUACAUCUACAGAAAAUUUAAAUGAUACAAUUUGAAUAAAAUAUAGUGAAAAGUUAA